rnacentral:pre_miRNA from 1 species
AAAAAGAAAAACCCUGAUUUCCGUGUCUAACGUUUGAAUGUCUGUCUUAUUUGAAAAAAUUAUGAAAAAAAUUAAAAAGACAAGUCAUGCAUAAAAUAUUAAUCAUGUUUUAUCAUCUAACAACAAUAAAAAUAUGAAUUAUAAAAAAAUUUCAUAUAAAACGGACAGUCAAAGUUGGACACGGAAACCCAGGGUUUGCCUUUUU